GACAGAGGUGCCGAGCGUUUAGGCGGAAUCACUGGGCUUAAAGCGUGUGUAGGCGGGCCGUUAAGUAUCUUGUGAAAUCCCCCGGCUCAACCGGGGAAUGGCUGGAUAUACUGGCGGUCUUGAGCAGUCUAGGGGCAGAUGGAACAAGUGGUGGAGCGGUGAAAUGCGUAGAUAUCACUUGGAACGCCAAUGGUGAAAACAACUCGCUGGGGGUGUGCUGACGCUGAGACACGAAAGCCAGGGGAGCGAACGGG
rnacentral:rRNA from 1 species